rnacentral:rRNA from 1 species
GUGGGGAAUAUUGGACAAUGGGCGAAAGCCUGAUCCAGCCAUGCCGCGUGUGUGAAGAAGGUCUUCGGAUUGUAAAGCACUUUAAGUUGGGAGGAAGGGUAGUAACCUAAUACGUUGCUACUUUGACGUUACCGACAGAAUAAGCACCGGCUAACUUCGUGCCAGCAGCCGCGGUAAUACGAAGGGUGCAAGCGUUAAUCGGAAUUACUGGGUGUAAAGCGCGCGUAGGUGGUUCAGUAAGUUGGAAGUGAAAUCCCCGGGCUCAACCUGGGAACUGCUUUCAAAACUGCUGAGCUAGAGUACGGUAGAGGGUGGUGGAAUUUCCUGUGUAGCGGUGAAAUGCGUAGAUAUAGGAAGGAACACCAGUGGCGAAGGCGACCACCUGGACUGAUACUGACACUGAGGUGCGAAAGCGUGGGGAGCAAACAGGAUUAGAUACCCGAGUAGUCC